AUUGAACGUUGGCGGCAGGCUUAACACAUGCAAGUCGAGCGGGGUGAUGGUGCUUGCACUAUCACUUAGCGGCGGACGGGUGAGUAAUGCUUAGGAAUCUGCCUAUUAGUGGGGGACAACAUCUCGAAAGGGAUGCUAAUACCGCAUACGUCCUACGGGAGAAAGCAGGGGAUCACUUGUGACCUUGCGCUAAUAGAUGAGCCUAAGUCGGAUUAGCUAGUUGGUGGGGUAAAGGCCUACCAAGGCGACGAUCUGUAGCGGGUCUGAGAGGAUGCUCCGCCACACUGGGACUGAGACACGGCCCAGACUCCUACGGGAGGCAGCAGUGGGGAAUAUUGGACAAUGGGGGGAACCCUGAUCCAGCCAUGCCGCGUGUGUGAAGAAGGCCUUAUGGUUGUAAAGCACUUUAAGCGAGGAGGAGGCUCUUUUGGUUAAUACCCAAGAUGAGUGGACGUUACUCGCAGAAUAAGCACCGGCUAACUCUGUGCCAGCCGCCGCGGUAA
rnacentral:rRNA from 1 species